rnacentral:ncRNA from 1 species
GAAAAGGUAAUGAUGAAGAGAAGUAGGCAUACAGACUUGUCAGAGAGGGCGAUCCACCGGCUGUAAGGUUGUCCAGAGAAAUGUACGCUGAAGGUAGCUUUUGAACCGGAUUGCUGAAAUAGCAGUAGGCAUUCACGAAUCGUCCACGUUACAGGACUCAGAGAUAUAUGCUUUCCAAAAGCAUAUAAUUAAGGUGGUACCGCGAAUUUUCGCCCUUUAC